rfam:Salmo salar isolate Sally breed double haploid chromosome ssa10, whole genome shotgun sequence.
CCAAAGGCUCUUUUAAGAGACACCUAAUUUUGAAAAUAAGCACACA